UAGUCCAUGCCGUAAACGUUGGGCACUAGGUGUGGGGUCUAUUCAACGGAUUCCGUGCCGCAGCUAACGCAUUAAGUGUCCCGCCUGGGGAGUACGCCGGCAACGGUAAAACUCAAAUGAAUUGACGGGGGCCCGCACAAGCGGUGGAGCAUGUGGUUUAAUUCGAUGCAACGCGAAAAACCUUACCUACCCUUGACAUCCUCAGAACUUGUUAGAGAUAACUUGGUGCCUUCGGGAACUGAGUGACAGGUGCUGCAUGGCUGUCGUCAGCUCGUGUCGUGAGAUGUUGGGUUAAGUCCCGCAACGAGCGCAACCCUUGUCCCUAGUUGCCAGCACGUAAAGGUGGGAACUCUAGGGANACUGCCGGUGACAAACCGGGNGGAAGGUGGGAUGACGUCAAGUCAUCAUGGCCCUUA
rnacentral:rRNA from 1 species